AAAAAAAUCCCGUGUUGGAAACUCCUGUGCAACCUUAGGAUUUGGCAACAAAUGGAAUAUGGAAUGCUGGUUGUGAUUCUGAGCAUCAGAUUGAGUGCUUCAUUUUCUGUUGCCACUGAUAAAGGUUCAUGCUAGGGUGAGAUGCGGAAUGAAAGGCAACGUGUCCUGAACCAUCCUGCAGCACUGCAGGCUACUGAGGAACCAAGGCUAUGGAACAAGCUCUGCUUCAGUAAACACUGCAGGCAAGGUGAGCUUCUUACCAAAUGGAGUCCUUCAGCUGUUUCAGUUCAAAGUGAACUACAAAGGAAAAUCUCUGUCUCGUGGUGCUUUUGCAGCCAAAAGGAACCUUUCCUAGUAGAAGAUUAUGUCAUCUUAACAGGACUGUGCAUUUCCAAACAAGGGCUGCAGGCUGGCCCUGGAGUACUCAAAACUUGGCUACAUUUGGUACCAAACUCUAAAAAAGCUUUCUAGGAUUUGUGCCCAGAUGUCCUGGAAGAUGGUCCAGUGUCUGUUUUGCUAUCCAAAAUUCAUCUUUUUGUUAUGAAAGUUGAGUUCAAACAACCUUGCAGGUCUGGAGUUCAUUAGAUAAGGUUUGUUGUCUUGCUGUCUGUGUCCAAAUAUGAUAUUAUUUCUGGUGCUGGGUAUCUUUAAACCUUACCACUUUUUCAUGUUGUACRGCAUAAGAAGUUAUCCAUUUGCAGCCUUCUCAUUUUCCCCACUACAGUCUGCACUGCAGAAACACAGUAAUGUUCUUUUUGCUUCUUAUAAGGAAUUGGGACUGCAGAAGGGAACUUAAAACUGUAAGAGAAAAGCAAAGUGGAGGUUUGGAUGAGGCACAGCAAGGAUUUUUUGUAAGUCUUCUCUUAGUCGGAGUGUUUUGGCACUCUUGACUCUUGGACUGCGUAUGUCCCCGUUCAGCAGA